AAAAAUUACAUUCCAAUUUUACCCCUCUCCAGAUUUUGCCUUGAAAUGCCUUGCCACGUGUCACCAUCUUGAUGCGCCACAUGUCAUAAAUGUGUGGUCAAGAUUUGGACCUACGGAUCUAUUAUAAGCAUUGGAUACUACAUGAUCUCACUUAUAUAUAUAUAUAUAGGGUGUGGUUCUAGAGAGAACUACAUUAUUUGUGAGAACGUGAGAACCAUCAAAUCUAAUGCAUCCACUAUAAAAAUUAAUGCAUUCGCUGUUAAAAUUAAUGCACUAAAAAAAAUAAAAAUAAAAAUUGUUCCAUUCAGGAUUCGAAUCCAGGAUCUGCAUUCAUCCAACAAGAUGAUGCAUUCACCGUAGAUCUUGAUGAUCGAAUGGCU
rnacentral:lncRNA from 1 species